AUCAGUUUGAAUCCCAUGCGGUAAAUCUUUACCUUAAUGAGCACUGGUUUCUUAAAAACACAGACAGUCUCUUCUCUCUACUAAUUCAUAGUCCUUCACUAAGAGUAUGUCUCUCCUUAACGAAAUAACCGUUAUUUUUUGUCAUUGCAGGCUCUUUUGGGGGCUCACAGCUGAGCAGGCUGGUUUAGGGGGGCAGCAUGUUAAGAUGUGCUUUGCAUUGCUGAUGAGGCAAUGGCAUCAGGCUUCUAAUGGAGACCAUCGUAGGAAUGAGUGCUUAAAGUCAUCUCCAGUUUGACUCUCUCAUCUUUCUGGAGGAUCCACCUCACUCUUGAGUGAUUUUAGAAGGAGACUAACUAACUAACUAGCUGAUGCUAAGCAGUUUUCAUAUGUUCUGAAUCCGCAGGUUCCCAGACCAAUCAUUUUAAGCCUCCAGAGGAUGGACCACCUGCUCUCAGAUGACUGUUGAAAUCAUCUCAAAGUAGCUCCUAGGAUCUUCACGCUGUGGUCUGAGAAACACAGGGGAAAGAUGACUCCUUCCCCAGAAGAUGUGGCCUUUUGCAGCUCUGCAGCAAAGGUUUCAUGCUGCCUACACGGAACUAAGCACACUCCUUGCUCUUGCUGGUCAUCACCUUUCUUUUAACCACUCCUACAGGUGAGACAAGUUGAGCCAAAUGCCAGCAGUGUGUGCAAUGGUACAAAGUCCUCAUCAAUAAGCAGCUUGGAAGCCACCUGCAGUCAAAGUGCUGUACCACGGCCUCAGCAGAAGCCACCUGAGAAGCAUCUUGGCUUUUGGGGACCAACUUUACGAUGCAAAGGGCUUUGUCUGUGCCUCCCUGGCUGCACUGUUGGUUGGGUAGAGAGUGAGACUGAUGCUUCCCUGGGAUCUUUCCUGUGUGGGUUGCUGGGGUUUGUGUGCCUUGCACCAGCUGUACAAGUGGGCUGGGAAGGAGCAGCUGGGGGAGCAGAGGAACACCUCCAAGUCUCACAAUUGCCAUCAGGGAUAAGGCUACUUUCAUGCCAGCCUUGGAGCUGUCACAUGCAGCACUAGUGUCUGUUUAUUUACAAGAAAAGAGUCUUUCUGACACCACUAUGUGCCUUUCCUUUGGCUGACGGCUGAAGAAAGUGAUGGAGCUCAGGCUGCCAGGAAGCUUGGGAGGAAUUUUAGGAAUGUGUCAAUUAGCUGGAGAGAGUGAUUAGCAGUGAUUCAUAGGGGCUUAGUGCCUCUUCCUCGCUGCUUUCUGGCCACAUGACUCGACAGGUGAGUUUGCCCAACUUGUGCUCAUUUUGGCCGCUCGAGCCCAUUUUGCAGCUGAUGACUUAAGAGGUGUCACUUCCCCAGCAGUAGCUGGGUGUGAGUUCAGCCUGGGUGUGAGCUGGGUGUGAGUUACAAGCUGAGAGGGAAGAUGGAAGUUAUUCCAAGUCAACAUCCUCCAGAGUCUUUAAAUACUUCAGUUCACCUCAGCCCCGCCGAAUGCGGUCCCUUCGCUUGGCUAUAGCUUUUCUGUCAGCCUCCCACACUCUGCAUAAAACCAAACUCCAGCCCUCUGUGUCCUUUAAAUUAUUUGCCUUUAUUGUACAAGCUCCAAGAACAAAGCUAAAGAAAAACAAUGAAAAUAAACAAAUUUUAAACACAACCACAUUUCAUGCCCAUUCCUCAAGCCAAGCUCUUGUUAUUCCAGAGAGCGGGGCCACAAGUAUGAAGGACAAAAAGUGAUAAACGAGUUCAUCAGACAACCAGCAGAUCAUGGUUCUUGCUCAAGAAAAAGUAGCUCACAGUGCUCUUUUUAGGUCAUAGAUACCAUGAGACUUCAUUAAUGACUCACAAAGUGCGCAGAGAGCUUUAAAUGAAAACUAUUUUCUUUGUGUGCAAAA